rnacentral:tRNA from 1 species
CUGCCUGUGGCCUAGUGGGUAAGGUUACUGUCUUGGGAACAUGGGGUCUUAGGUUCAAGCCCAGCUAAGGACA